CUAACUCAUACAAACACCAACAGCAAGUGGAAGGCAACUAACCUUGGUUACUUCCAAGAGAAACUAUUCAGGAUUUCCAAGUAACGAAGAAUCAAGCUAGUUUGUAAUGUCCUCAAAGAAAGAAACAUUUUCAUUUCUACAUGACCAGCAGCUAUCAUAGGGGCUGGCACACAGAUUUCUCAUCCUGGGAGAAACCAGCUGCCAGGUCUUGAGGAACACUCAAGCAGCACUGUGGGGAGACCCAUGUGGUGAGGAACUGGAGCCUCUGGAUAACACUCAGCAGAAACUGAGGCCUUCCAACAACCCCAUGAGUGAUACUGAAAGCAGAUCUCCCAGCCCCAGUCAAGCCUUCGGAUGACUGCGGCCCAGUAACAGCUUGAAUGCAACCUCACAAGAGACGUUGAGCUAGAAGCAGCUAGCCAAUCCACUCUUGGAUUCCUGACCCUCAGAAACUGAUAAUAAUAAAUGUUUGCUGUUUUAAGCUGCUAAGUUUUGUAGUAAUUUGUUACAGAGCAACAUGUAACUAUCAUAUGUUAAUAUUAACAGUGAGAUGGUGGCAAAAUACCAACCCACAAUGUGGAAGUGGCUUUAGAACUGAGCAAUGGGCUUUGACGAAAGGGUUAGUGACAGUCUGUAGUGCCUCGAACACACCGUCAAUAGAAGCCUUGUGGUUUUUCCUAAAGCUACAGGUGAGGGCUCACAGGUAAAUGAAGCAAAUGUUGGAAACUAGAGAAAGAGGGAAUUCAUUAUGUUGUAGUAAAAAAAUUAGUAAUGCUUUUGCCUGAAG
rnacentral:lncRNA from 1 species